GGAUAGCUCAACUGGUAGAGCGUUGUAUUGACAUCGCCAGGGAUAGGGGUUCAAUUCCCACUGGUUCCG